CAUACCUAUUCGAAGGGAUAGGGUCGGUUCGGCCGGGUUUCACACAGGUGUUGCAUGGCUGUCGUCAGCUCGUGUCGUGAGAUGUUGGGUUAAGUCCCGCAACGAGCGCAACCCUCAUCCUUAGUUACCAUCAAGUAAUGCUGGGGACUUUAAGGAAACUGCCAGUGAUAAACUGGAGGAAGGUGGGGAUGAUGUCAAGUCAUCAUGGCCCUUAUGGAGUGGGCUACACACGUGCUACAAUGGUGGCUACAAUGGGCUGCAAAGUCGCGAGGCUAAGCUAAUCCCUUAAAAGCCAUCUCAGUUCGGAUUGUACUCUGCAACUCGAGUGCAUGAAGUUGGAAUCGCUAGUAAUCGUGGAUCAGCACGCCACGGUGAAUACGUUUUCGGGUCUUGUACACACUGCCCGUCACGCCAUGGGAAUUGGUUUCACUCGAAGCU
rnacentral:rRNA from 2 species